UGGAGGUUCGCUAUUUCACAGCUUGUGUGUAUGAGCUUUUUGGAGAUCUUUCUGGAGGCCCCAGCAGUGCCACAUUUCACGAUCAAGAUGUGCCAUUGUGGAAGAAGAGCUUGCCAUCAAGUCAGCCAACUAAGGCUUUAGUUCCACUUCUUCUCUGGGCGCCUAGAAACCAGAUUGGCUAAUCUCUAAGACCACAGUAAUCGUGGGAGUGUAUGUUGGGAUGGAGAAACCAAAAAAUCUAAGCAGUGUGGAAAACUGUGCCAACACGUGGAGAACAGCAACCCUGCCCAGCCUUCGAGAUCUGCUAAAGACUUUGAGU